rfam:Cajanus cajan CcLG03_749, whole genome shotgun sequence.
UCCCAAUGAAGAAGAUAACCUGAUUGAUCGGAAGUGCCGUAUGAUACUCCAAAAACAGCAGUGAC